rnacentral:rRNA from 1 species
AUUGAACGCUGGCGGCAGGCUUAACACAUGCAAGUCGAACGAGUGGCGGACGGGUGAGUAAUGUUUGGGAAUCUAGCCUAUGGAGGGGGAUAACUACGGGAAACUGUAGCUAAUACCGCGUACCAUAGGAUGAGCCCAAGUGGGAUUAGGUAGUUGGUGGGGUAAAGGCUCACCAAGACGACGAUCGCUAGCUGGUCUGAGAGGAUGACCGGCAACACUGGAACUGGGACACGGCCCAGACUCCUACGGAAGGCAGCAGUGGGGAAUAUUGGGCAAUGGGGGCAACCUGACGCGGCCAUGCCGCGUGAAUGAAGAAGGCCUUCGGGUUGUAAAGUUCUUUCGGUGGCGAGGCGUUAACUACAGAAGAAGCACCGGCUAACUCCGUGCCAGCAGCCGCGGUAAUUC